UACGAAGGGGGCUAGCGUUGUUCGGAAUUACUGGGCGUAAAGGGCGCGUAGGCGGCGCAACAAGUCACUUGUGAAAUCUUCAGGCUUAACCUGAAGCGGCCAAGUGAUACUGUCGUGCUAGAGUGCGGAAGGGGCAACUGGAAUUCUUGGUGUAGCGGUGAAAUGCGUAGAUAUCAAGAGGAACACCUGCGGCGAAGGCGGGUUGCUGGGCCGACACUGACGCUGAGGCGCGAAAGCUAGGGGAGCGAACGGG
rnacentral:rRNA from 1 species